AUCUAUGUAUGAAAUGUAAGCUUGCUUACAUAGACUACAUGGUGGACUGGUGAGUAACGUGUAAAGAACUUACCUCUUAGACUGGGAUAACCAUUAGAAAUGAUGGAUAAUACUAGAUAUUAUUAGUAGUAGGCAUCUACUAUUAAUGAAAGGAGAGAUUGCUAAGAGAGAGCUUUGCAUCCUAUUAGCUAGUUGGUGGGGUAAAGGCCUACCAAGGCUAUGAUAGGUAGCCGGCCCGAGAGGGUGAACGGCCACAAGGGGACUGAGAUACGGCCCUUACUCCUACGGGAGGCAGCAGUGGGGAAUAUUGGACAAUGGAGGAAACUCUGAUCCAGCAAUUCUGUGUGCACGAAGAAGGUUUUCGGAUUGUAAAGUGCUUUCAGUAGGGAAGAAGAAGAUGACGGUACCUACAGAAGAAGCGACGGCUAAAUACGUGCCAGCAGCCGCGGUAAUACGUAUGUCGCAAGCGUUAUCCGGAAUUAUUGGGCUUAAAGGGCAUCUAGGCGGUCUAACAAGUUGAAGGUGAAAAGCUGUGGCUCAACCAUAGUCUUGCCUACAAAACUGUCAGACUAGAGUACUGGAAAGGUGGGUGGAACUACACGAGUAGAGGUGAAAUUCGUAGAUAUGUGUAGGAAUGCCGAUGAUGAAGAUAACUCACUGGACAGAAACUGACGCUGAAGUGCGAAAGCUAGGGGAGCAAACAGGAUUAGAUACCCUGGUAGUCCUAGCUGUAAACGAUGAUCACUGGGUGUGGGGGUGUGAAGCCUCUGUGCCGAAGCAAAAGCGAUAAGUGAUCCGCCUGGGGAGUACGUACGC
rnacentral:rRNA from 1 species